UACGGAGGGGGCUAGCGUUGUUCGGAAUUACUGGGCGUAAAGCGCGCGUAGGCGGACCUGCAAGUCGGGGGUGAAAGCCCGAGGCUCAACCUCGGAACUGCCUUCGAUACUGCGGGUCUCGAGUCCGGGAGAGGUGAGUGGAAUUCCUAGUGUAGAGGUGAAAUUCGUAGAUAUUAGGAAGAACACCAGUGGCGAAGGCGGUUCUCUGGGCAUUACCUGACGCUGAGGAGCGAAAGUGUGGGGAGCGAACAGG
rnacentral:rRNA from 1 species